rnacentral:rRNA from 1 species
AUGCACGCUGGCGGCGUGCCUCAUACAUGCAAGUCGAGCGAACAGACGAGGAGCUUGCUCCUCUGACGUUAGCGGCGGACGGGUGAGUAACACGUGGAUAACCUACCUAUAAGACUGGGAUAACUUCGGGAAACCGGAGCUAAUACCGGAUAAUAUAUUGAACCGCAUGGUUCAAUAGUGAAAGACGGUUUUGCUGUCACUUAUAGAUGGAUCCGCGCCGCAUUAGCUAGUUGGUAAGGUAACGGCUUACCAAGGCAACGAUGCGUAGCUGACCUGAGAGGGUGAUCGGCCACACUGGAACUGAGACACGGUCCAGACUCCUACGGGAGGCAGCAGUAGGGAAUCUUCCGCAAUGGGCGAAAGCCUGACGGAGCAACGCCGCGUGAGUGAUGAAGGUCUUCGGAUCGUAAAACUCUGUUAUUAGGGAAGAACAAAUGUGUAAGUAACUAUGCACGUCUUGACGGUACCUAAUCAGAAAGCCACGGCUAACUACGUG